rnacentral:lncRNA from 1 species
AGAUCACGAAUCAAGCUGAAAAAGUAAAGCAUUCUGUGAGUUGUGGAAUGGAAAUUGCCUCAACCAUCUCACCACUUGAUGACACUUGUAAUUUCAGUGACCCAGUUCAAGGCAAGAGAGCUCAGUUUUUCCAUGUUUGCAGCAGUACUCUUAAAUUCUUGAUUCUGAGUUGUUAGGAGACACAAUUUCAGAGCAAUAAAACAUCUAGUAAUACUCUCAAUAAAGAUGUGUAAUUAAAACAGAAGAGGAAACAGACUAACAGAAGUGAUGAAGAAUGGCAGUUCUAAGGAUGGCAGCCGUGUAAGACAUACCUGCUUCGCCUUCACCUUCUGCCAUGAUUGUAAGUUUCCUGAGGUUUCCCCAGCCAUGCUUUCUGUACAGCCUGCAGAACUAUGAGCCAAUUAAACCUCUUUUGUUAUAAAUUACCCAGUUUCAGGUAGUUAUUUAUACCAGUAAAAGAAUGGACUAAUACAGAAAAUUGGUACUGGGAAGUGGGGCAUUGCUAUAAAGGUACCUAAAAAUGUGGAAGCAACUUUGGAACUGGGUAAUGGGCAGAGGUUGGAACAGUUUG